rnacentral:rRNA from 1 species
AACGAACGCUGGCGGCAGGCCUAACACAUGCAAGUCGAGCGAGAUCUUCGGAUCUAGCGGCGGACGGGUGAGUAACGCGUGGGAAUAUGCCCUUCGGUUCGGAAUAGCCCCGGGAAACUGGGAGUAAUACCGGAUACGGUCUACGGACGAAAGAUUUAUCGCCGAAGGAUUAGCCCGCGUUGGAUUAGGUAGUUGGUGGGGUAAUGGCCUACCAAGCCGACGAUCCAUAGCUGGUCUGAGAGGACGACCAGCCACACUGGGACUGAGACACGGCCCAGACUCCUACGGGAGGCAGCAGUGGGGAAUUUUGGACAAUGGGCGCAAGCCUGAUCCAGCAAUGCCGCGUGCAGGAAGAAGGCCUUCGGGUUGUAAACUGCUUUGUACGGAACGAAAAAGGACUCUGGUUAAUACCUGGGCGUCAUGACGGUACCGUAAGAAUAAGCACCGGCUAACUAACGUGCCAGCAGCCGC